GAUGAACGCUGGCGGCGUGCUUAACACAUGCAAGUCGAGCGAGUGAGUUCUUCGGAACGAUCUAGCGGCGGACGGGUGAGUAACACGUGGGCAACCUACCUCAUAGAGGGGAAUAGCCUCCCGAAAGGGAGAUUAAUACCGCAUAAAAUUAUCGAGUGGCAUCACAUGAUAAUCAAAGGAGCAAUCCGCUAGGAGAUGGGCCCGCGGCGCAUUAGCUAGUUGGUGAGGUAACGGCUCACCAAGGCGACGAUGCGUAGCCGACCCGAGAGGGUGAUCGGCCACAUUGGGACUGAGACACGGCCCAGACUCCUACGGGAGGCAGCAGUGGGGAAUAUUGCACAAUGGGGGAAACCCUGAUGCAGCAACGCCGCGUGAGUGAUGAAGGUCUUCGGAUUGUAAAGCUCUGUCUUUGGGGACGAUAAUGACGGUACCCAAGGAGGAAGCCACGGCUAACUACGUGCCAGCAGCCGCAGUAA
rnacentral:rRNA from 1 species